rnacentral:sRNA from 1 species
CCAGGCAAAAAUCAUUCUGAUAGAAGAAAUGGUACUUUUAUUCUCCAAAACCGUCGAUACAACUGCAAAUGAACUAGUCAGCAGAACUUAAUAACAUAGCUACUCCAAGCUGGCUAUUACAUCUGCCGGCACAUUUUUAUGUAUUUUCCAUUGGCUGUCAUUGUCGAAAAUACUAUGAACCAAAUGACCAGAUGAGUUUGUUAUCAAUUUGGAUCCCUAUCCCCAAGGUGCGAAAAUCACUAGCUUUUUCUCCUAACAUACGCCUCGGUGGAUUCCUUUCGAGUGAUGCGUUUUGUUUCCUCCCUUUGAACCCUUUUCUUUCCCUACGUGACUAUGUCUCGAGAGCAUACGCCGUCUCGCGAUUGAGGUUGGGCCUGUUUGAAGCGCUGCCACAUCCACCGGCUCUGAGGCCAUGAGCCUCUCGGUAACAGCCACGAUGUCUGCUACAAGUCGGUCGAUGAGAUCUGCAGACAUACUUUCACGUACAACUAUCCGCAGGGUUUCAGUCUUAUCCUCCGUCGGUGGAAGUGGGUAAUCUAUGUUGUGGUCACCGUUGUUAGCUUUGCGCUCCCCAAUAUACCUUGCAGUUCAUAAUUCACAAGGACACGUGAACGAGGCAGUAUCAGUGACAUACUUGGGAUGAUAUACUGCUUCGCACGAAGCAAUAAACUGACGCUCUCCUGCUUCACAUCCGGGUACUUUUGCUGAACCUCAUCAGAAAACCUAAAAGACACUACAGGCAAACCUGCAUUAUAGUCCGCCGAUGUUUCGCCUUCCUGAUAUUUCAGCAACCCGUUGGUCUGCUCAACCUUUGAGCUCCCUUUUUUCCGAUGGAUGCCGCUGAUGCAUAGGAACCAGCCCGUGUUCUCAAGGGCGGUGCUUAACAAUCGAGCAUUUGCUAGGCAAUUCUCCAUGAUUUCUCGGUACCCGUUGAAGCCAAGGCGUAUAAAAUUGUAAUACUGUCCUACCACCUGCAUUCCAGGCCGGGAGAAAUUCAGGGUAAACGUCUCUUCUGUCCCACCAAGAUAAUGGAGCUCAAAAAUAAGGUCGCUUGGCAGAUACCCUCUAUCCCGCCAUACGAUCCAACCAAGGCCCGCGUAUACCAAGCCGAAUUUAUGACCAGAGAGAUAAUCACCAUUUAGGACCUCCGGCCUGAGCGUAAGUGAAUGGCGCAACAAAGCCCCCGCUUGCACCAUCGACGUGAAUAGGCACAUCUAUACCAGACUUCGCUUCGAAUUCAUCCAAAAUGCUUGAGAUCUCUUCCACUGGUUCGUAGUGGCCGGUGUCUGGAUCAAGCCGAUACUCGCUUUUCUGAGAGACGUCUAAAAUCCGGGCCUCAACGUCGAAGUACCUAGCGAACUUAAGCAGUGCAACCUGUGCGUUCGCGCCCAUGAUGAUGUUCGGCUUCGAGGUGUCUUUUCCCGUCUCUUUCCUUUUCUCCUGCCAGCGUUUUUUCAUUGCCAACCCACCAAGGAGGAUAGCUUCCGAAGAUCCAGUCGUUGCAGAUCCAAUCGCGUGCUCUCCUGGUUGCGCGUGCCAGAGAUUAGAUAUCAUUGAGACACAAUGAGCAUGCAUCUCCAUCAAGGCCGGGUAUUCAUCGGCAUCAGCUAAGUUUUUACUGAUAUUCUCGAACAGAAGCUCGUCAGCUUCACGUUCCAUGUAAGUGCCGACGAAACUACGAACAUUUAACAUCUUUGUUAGUAUCAUAUUUGCCGAAUCACCGAGAAAUUUGUCUCAGAUGGAUCGCAAAGGUGGUUUUGGUCAAUGUACAGUAUAUCACCGACCUAGCCAGGUUCAAAUUUGGAAUCCCAUCCAAAUCCAGAUCAUCCCUCAACAUCCUACGCACUGCCUCCGCCGGCGCACCCUUCUCGGGCAACUUGAAUUUAGGAAUUUCCUCAUGACUAGCAUAUCGUGUGGAGUACGGGGUCAUCGACCCGGAGACAUUCUCAGUCCAUAUGCGUUCACUUUUUCUACGCUUGGGGUCCUUGCGUAGAUCCUCAAUCAGUUGGUUAACGUCAACCUAUGCUCCUCAUUGAAAGCCGGUAGAUGUGAGCAGAAGUCAUUUGAAAAAUGUUCCAAAAACAAUGUCAAUGAAAUGGGGCAAAGCAGUUUGCGUGAAGAGGCAAUCCUCUCUACUUGUAUGUUUUCUUCUUCAACAAAAACGACUCUGUAGGGAAUCUCACUUACGUGCGCUGCAAGGGUCAUUUUGGUGUAGUUUUCACUCCGCGAUUCCUCAUGUAACGAAGAAUGAAGUCCGUGUUUGAAUAUCAGGCCAAACAACUGGUGAUUCCGCAAAUUAAACAAUUCCUUACAAGCUGUACAUGCGGAUAAUCAAGUUUCCUUAAAUAAUGUUUCUUUUAACUCA